GAACGUACGCUGGCGGCACGCCUAACACAUGCAAGUCGAACGAAGUAGCAAUACUUAGUGGCAGACGGGUGAGUAACAUGUAGGUAUCUGCCCUUUGGCCUGGAAUAACACGAGGAAACUUGUGCUAAUACCGGAUAAGUCUUUACGGAGAAAGCUUUAUGCACCAUUGGAUGAGCCUGCACUUGAUUAGUUUGUUGGUGGGGUAAUGGCCUACCAAGACUGUGAUCAAUAGCUGAUUUGAGAGGAUGAUCAGCCACAUUGGGACUGAGACACGGCCCAAACUCCUACGGGAGGCAGCAGUGGGGAAUCUUGCACAAUGGAGGAAACUCUGAUGCAGCGAUGCCGCGUGAGUGAAGAAGGCCUUUGGGUUGUAAAGCUCUUUCGUCGGGGAAGAAAAUGACUGUACCCGAAUAAGAAGGUCCGGCUAACUUCGUGCCAGCAGCCGCGGUAAUACGAAGGGACCUAGCGUAGUUCGGAAUUACUGGGCUUAAAGAGUUCGUAGGUGGUUGAAAAAGUUAGUGGUGAAAUCCCAGAGCUUAACUCUGGAACUGCCAUUAAAACUUUUCAGCUAGAGUAUGAUAGAGGAAAGCAGAAUUUCUAGUGUAGAGGUGAAAUUCGUAGAUAUUAGAAAGAAUACCAAUUGCGAAGGCAGCUUUCUGGAUCAUUACUGACACUGAGGAACGAAAGCAUGGGUAGCGAAGAGGAUUAGAUACCCUCGUAGUCCAUGCCGUAAACGAUGUGUGUUAGACGUUGGAAAUUUAUUUUCAGUGUCGCAGGGAAACCGAUAAACACACCGCCUGGGGAGUACGACCGCAAGGUUAAAACUCAAAUGAAUUGACGGGGACCCGCACAAGUAGUGGAGCAUGUGGUUUAAUUCGAAGAUACGCGCAGAACCUUACCAACACUUGACAUGUUCGUCGCGACUCUAAGAGAUUAGAGUUUUCGGUUCGGCCGGACGAAACACAGGUGCUGCAUGGCUGUCGUCAGCUCGUGUCGUGAGAUGUUGGGUUAAGUCCCGCAACGAGCGCAACCCUCACUUUUAGUUGCCAUCAUUAAGUUGGGCACUCUGAAAGAACUGCCAGUGAUAAGCUGGAGGAAGGUGGGGAUGACGUCAAGUCCUCAUGGCCCUUACGUGUUGGGCUACACACGUGCUACAAUGGUAUCUACAACAGGAAGCAAGACUGCGAAGUUAAGCAAAUCCCUAAAAGAUACCUCAGUUCGGAUUGCACUCUGCAACUCGAGUGCAUGAAGCUGGAAUUACUAGUAAUCGUGGAUCAGCGUGCCACGGUGAAUGCGUUCCCGGGUCUUGUACACACCGC
rnacentral:rRNA from 1 species